UUGCGUUUUCACACAAACCCCUUUUUAAAAAAGUGUAGAAUGACCUCAUUUUUGCAAUAAAACGCAAUCAAUACAACUUUCAACAACGGAUCUCUUGACUCUCGCAUCGAUGAAGAACGCAGCGAAAUGCGAUACGUAAUGUGAAUUGCAGAAUUCAGUGAAUCAUCGAAUCUUUGAACGCACCUUGCGCCCCUUGGUAUUCCGAGGGGCACACCCGUUUGAGUGUCGUGAAAAUCUCAACCUUCUCGGUUUCUUCUGGACACCGAAGGAGGCUUGGACUUUGGAGGCCUUUGCUGGCGUCUCUCUCUUUUGAAAGGCCAGCUCCUCUCAAAUGAAUUAGCGGGGUCCUCUUUGCCGACCCUCGACAUGUGAUAAGAUGUUUCCAUGUCUUGGUUUAUGGCUCUGUUGCCUUUGGGACCCGCUUCCAAUCGUCUCUCUGAGAGACAAUGUUCGAGCGCGUCUCCCUUCUCGGGAAACACUCUCGAACCCACGAACCCUUGACCUCAAAUCGGGUGAGACUACCCGCUGAACUUAAGCAUAUCAUAANC
rnacentral:rRNA from 1 species